CUUACCUACCCAAAUCCUAUAAAUUGCCCCACCCCUAUCUCCCUUUGCUGACUCUCUUUUCAGACUCAGCCCACCUGCACCCAGGUGAUUAAAAGCUUUAUUGCUCACACAAAGCCUGUUUGGUGGUCUCUUCACACGGACACACAUGAAAUUUGGUGCCGUGACUCGGAUCGGGGGUCCUCCCUUGGGAGAUCAAUCCCCUGUCCUCCUGUUCUUUGCUCCGUGAGAAAGAUCCACCUACGACCUCAGGUCCUCAGACCGACCAGCCCAACGAACAUCUCACCAAUUUUAAAUCAGGACCUACCAGUCUGCCCUGCUCAUACUUGAUCUGGAUGAGACUGAUACCCUGCGAGACGCAACAGAAUCAGCUCCUGGGAUUGUGUUAGCAGAAUGACGGGAGUGUGAGAUCCACCACAUGGCGAGGCACCCCAGGAACCUGUUUUCUUCUUGAAGAGCAACCGAGAACUAUUUCCAAGUUAUCCUUCACUUUGAGCCAGGCAAUGGUCAGGUGGAGUAAAACAUAAGGAAGAACAUCUUUUUGGUUCAAAGCAUGAAAAAAAUUGGGACAGCAUGGAGGUGUCUGAUUUCUGCUUGGGCUGAGGAUUCAGGAGAAGAUGUGUGGAACACAGCCUGGACAUGCCCCAACCUGGUUGAUGAAUUCCACCCCAAGUAGUGGAAGAAACACACCUACAACAUGAGCAGAGAAGAUUUUUCUUCUGUACUUUCCAGGACUUGAAGCUGCUUUGUUUUUUGGUCGCUGGGUGGGGAAGGAGGAACAAUAGUAUAGCUUCCAGAAGAGAGAAGAGAGAUAUCUCUUGAGUGUGAAUUAAGCAGUACCAAGAGGCCUCAAGCUAGCUCUCUCUCCUGCUUUAAAUUCUACUGUUAAGAGUUUUUCUUUAAGUUUAAAACCUUGAAAGCUCCAUGAUGCUCCUGAGUAGAACAAUAAAGCCAUUAGUAGUCAA